rnacentral:rRNA from 1 species
NNNNNNNNNNNNNNNNNNNNNNCCAUCACUACUACUAUNAGCCAAUCAAAUAAAACAUUUACCAUACGUCUAAAGUAUAGGAGAUAGAAAUUUAACUACCAGUGGCGCCAUAGAGAAAGUACCGUAAGGGAAAGAUGAAAGAAUUGUUAAAAGUAGAAAAAAGCAAAGUUUACCCCUUGUACCUUUUGCAUAAUGAUUUAACUAGUAAUAAUUUAGCAAAGAGACCUUAAGUUAAAUUACCCNNNNNNNNNNNNNNNNNNNNNNNNNNNNNNNNNNNNNNNNNNNNNNNNNGUGGCAAAAUAGUGAGAAGACUUGUAAGUAGAGGUGAAAAGCCUAACGAGCCUGGUGAUAGCUGGUUGUCCAAGAAAGGAAUUUCAGUUCAACAUUAAACAAUACUAAAAACCACAUUAAGUUUCAACGUAUGUUUAACUGUUAGUCUAAAAAGGUACAGCUUUUUAGAAACGGAUACAACCUUUACUAGAGAGUAACAUAAAACUUAAACCAUAGUUGGCCUAAAAGCAGCCACCAAUUAAGAAAGCGUUCAAGCUCAACAACAAAAACAAGUUUUAAUUUCAACAAUAAAUAAAACAACUCCUAGCCUGACUAUUGGACUAAUCUAUUCAACUAUAGAAGAAAUACUGUUAAUAUGAGUAACAAGAAAAAUUUUCUCCUCGCACAAGCCUAUAUCAGUAACUGAUANUAUACUGAUAGUUAACAACCAAUAAAUAUAACCCAACACUAAAUUAUUUAUUAAUCCUACUGUUAAUCCAACACAGGUGUGCACUAAGGAAAGAUUAAAAGGAGUAAAAGGAACUCGGCAAACACAAACCCCGCCUGUUUACCAAAAACAUCACCUCUAGCAUAACUAGUAUUAGAGGCACUGCCUGCCCAGUGACAAUCGUUAAACGGCCGCGGUAUCNUGACCGUGCANAGGNAGCAUAAUCACUUGUUCUCUAAAUAAGGACUUGUAUGAAUGGCCACACGAGGGUUUUACUGUCUCUUACUCCCAAUCAGUGAAAUUGACCUCCCCGUGAAGAGGCGGGGAUAACACAAUAAGACGAGAAGACCCUAUGGAGCUUUAAUUAAUCAACUCAAAAAGCAUAAAAUAAUACCACCAAGGGAUAACAAAGCUUUACAUGAGCUGACAAUUUCGGUUGGGGUGACCUCGGAGCAUAAAAAACCCUCCGAGUGAUUAAAACUUAGGCCUACCAGCCAAAGUAUAACAUCACUUAUUGAUCCAAAAUUUUGAUCAACGGAACAAGUUACCCUAGGGAUAACAGCGCAAUCCUAUUCUAGAGUCCAUAUCGACAAUAGGGUUUACGACCUCGAUGUUGGAUCAGGACAUCCUAGUGGUGCAGCAGCUACUAAGGGUUCGUUUGUUCAACGAUUAAAGUCCUACGUGAUCUGAGUUCAGACCGGAGCAAUCCAGGUCGGUUUCUAUCUAUUACGCAUUUCUCCCGGUACGAAAGGACAAGAGAAAUAAGGCCAACUUUAAAAAGCGCCUUCAAACAAUUAGUGACCCAAUCUCAACCUAAUAAUCUAGCGCAAAUAUGCCCUGCCNAAGAUCAGGGCUUU